UUUGUGGGGUGCUCGAGUGGCGAACGGGUGAGUAACACGUGAGUAACCUGCCCUUGACUUUGGGAUAACUUCAGGAAACUGGGGCUAAUACCGGAUAGGAGCUCCUGCUGCAUGGUGGGGGUUGGAAAGUUUCGGCGGUUGGGGAUGGACUCGCGGCUUAUCAGCUUGUUGGUGGGGUAGUGGCUUACCAAGGCUUUGACGGGUAGCCGGCCUGAGAGGGUGACCGGCCACAUUGGGACUGGGAUACGGCCCAG
rnacentral:rRNA from 1 species